rnacentral:rRNA from 1 species
UCCGGGAACCGGGGCUAAUACCGGAUAAUACAUGAAACCGCAUGGUUUCAUGAUGAAAGACGGUUUUGCUGUCACUUAUAGAUGGACCCGCGGCGUAUUAGCUAGUUGGUAAGGUAACGGCUUACCAAGGCAACGAUACGUAGCCGACCUGAGAGGGUGAUCGGCCACACUGGAACUGAGACACGGUCCAGACUCCUACGGGAGGCAGCAGAG